rnacentral:ncRNA from 2 species
UGGCUCAGUUCAGCAGGAACGG